rnacentral:SRP_RNA from 1 species
AGCACGCUGGUGCAUGCCUAUAGUCCCAGCUACUCGGGAGGCUGAGGUGUGAGGAUCUCGCUUGAGCCCAGCAGUUCUGGGUUGUAGUGCGCUAUACCAAUCAGGUGUCCACACUAAGUUCAGCAUCAGUAUGGUGACCUCCCAGGAGUGGGGGACCACCAGGUUGCCUAAGGAGGGGUGAACCGGCCCAGGUCAGAAAAGGAGCAGGUCAAAGCUCCUGUGCUGAUGAGCAGUGGAAUUGUGCCUGUGAAUAGCCACUGCACUCCAGCCAGGGCAACAUAGCUGUCUCUUAUACAC